rnacentral:misc_RNA from 1 species
GGAAGGAUCAUUAACACUCAAAAAAAAAAUCCAAACUUUGUCAAUCAGUGGGAGGGUUUUAUACAUACUUUUCUACUGAUUGUACAAAAGCUCAAUAUGUGGUACGUUAAAGUCUUUAAUAGUAGUAGUAAGUAUUAACAACAACUAUACUGCUAUUAAAGUAAUUUUAAUAUUACCCAGUUAUAUUUUAUUGUCUAAAAUGGUACUUUUUAUUCUUGAGAAGUAAUGGUUCAUUCCAUUCUCCUGAUUAGAAAAUACAAAACAAUAAAAAAAACACAAAGACAACUUUUAACAACGGAUAUCUUGGUUCGCACAACGAUGAAGAGCGCAGCGAAAUGCGAUAAGUAAUGUGAAUUGCAGAAUUCAGUGAAUCAUCAAAACCUUGAACGCAAAUUGCACUUGGAGGACAGCCUCCAAGUAUGUCUAUUUGAGUGUCGGUAUUAAAUUAUCACUUAAAAAGUAUAUAUAUAUACUUUUUAGUGGAGUUGGACUUUGAAAUGUUGUGUCAUAACAACACAUUUCAUUGUUUGAAAUUGAUAGUAUCAUGGUUUGAUUUUAAAAAAAGGGCAACUUAUAAGCAUAUACUAUACCAUGUGUGAUGAUGCAUUGGUACUCCAUUUUGGAUGUAACUUCAUCAUCAUUAUCAUGAUUAUUAGUAUUUUUUUUAUAUAUUGCUUUUAUCAAAUCCACCAAUUGAUAAAUUCACAACAAGGAUAAAUUUCUUUCUAUCAAUCUCGACCUCAAAUUAGAUGAGACUACCCGCUGAAUUUAAGCAUAUAACUAAGCGGAGGAAAAGAAACUAACCAGGAUUCCCCUAGUAACGGCGAGUGAAGAGGGAACAGCUCAAAUUUAAAAUCUGAAGGGUUUCCCUUCCGAAUUGUAGUUUUGUGAGCAGCUUCACGAGUGCACGGCCUCAGUAAAAGUUCCUUGGAAUAGGACACCAUAGAGGGUGAUAGUCCCGUACAUGACUGGAGCAUCAAACGUGCAACAAUAGUGCUGCUGCCUCAAAGAGUCGGAUACUUUGGGAGUAGUGUCCAAAAUGGGUGGUACAUUUCACCUAAAGCUAAAUAAGGGUGCGAGACCGAUAGCGAACAAGUACUGUGAAGGAAAGAUGCAAAGAACUUUGAAAAGAGAGUCAAAUAGUCCUUGAAAUUGUUAAAAGGGAAGCGAUUGGGAGCAGUGACUAUCCUCAUUGUCAAUUCAAACGAGAUUAUGAUAUUGGUGAGAGUAAUAGGAAUGACACUUUGUUGUUAUAUUAUUAUUUUUACCUGGUAUUAUGAUUUCGUAGCACUUUGGCAGUGGAUGAGUCGACAUCUGUGGGAGUGUUAUGAUGGAAGAAUGGUUAUAGUGAGGUACCAAGCUGGUUUUUCCAGAGUGGGUUAUACACUAUGAUAGAUACCAUCGCUAUCCUACAGAGGCGCCUUUCAAGGUGUAAGCAUGUGCCAAGCAAGACUUAGAUUUUACCCGGUAGAUGAUGACGGUGGAGACAGCAUGCUGUGUCUAUUGAUCAUUUUUGUUUACCAGAGUUUGAUCGGUCAUACGCAUGCUAAAGAUGUCGACGAAAUGCUUUCAACCGUCCCGUCUUGAAACACGGACCAAGGAGUCUAACGUAUGUGCGAGUAUUGGAGUGAGUAAAACUCCGAUGCGAAAUGAAAGUGACUGGUGGGAUGCUCUCCUUAUGAUUGAGUAGCAGCACCAUCGACCGAUCUGGAUAUUCUUGGAUAGAUUUGAGUACGAGCACAUCCGUUGGGACCCGAAAGAUAGCGAACUAUGCUUGCAUAGGGUGAAGCCAGAAGAAAUUCUGGUGGAGGCUCGUAGCGAUACUGACGUGCAAAUCGUUCGUCAAAUGUGGGUAUAGCGGCGAAAGACUAAUCGAGCUGUCUAGUAGCUGGUUUCCUC